AUGUGCAGAGGCCACCGACAGCUGCGCCUGAGUGAGGGUGCGUGUGUGUGUCUCCAGGUCUGUCCGUGCAGGUCAAUGUUGUCUCGUGUGUUGGGAAGAUGGGUGCCCCCACUUCUGUGUGUUGAGGGGGGUGGCGCUGUGUGUCACUGUCUGCCCAUUUCAGAGUUGCCAGUUGUUUCUGUGUGUGUGGGUGUCUGUAUUGCAGGGCUGUGGCAGUAUGUGAUGCUGUCACUGGUUGUAUCUGAGUGUGUCAGUGUCGUGCAGCUAUGUGCAUCGUUGUCGUCGUGUGUCUGUCAGUGUCUGUGGGUCUGGCCAUCCGUCGCAACCCCUCAGCCCAGCCAGGGGCUUCAGGAGCUGCUGGGGGUGAUCCCCAGUGGUCCGCUGUGGUCCUUUAUCUCCGGCUCUGUUCUCCGCUGCUGCUCUCUCGCUUGCUGGGUGACUGGGCUGGUCCUAAGGAGGUCUGGGUCGAUGGGCUGCUUGCCUCAUAGUCUCAGCCCCUGCUGGCCUCAGCUCUGGGGACUGCAGGGGUCCCUUACAGUCCGGGAGCCUCGAGAUGGUGGGCUCCGAGGAGGGCUGAGCCUCAGAAUUGGGGGGAGCGAGCCGGGGAGAACCAGCCUUCCCCUCCUCCUCCUUCUCCCCUCCCACCCACCAAUAGGAAGUCGGCUGUUGGUUUCCAUGGUGAUGGCGCUGGACUGGUGGGCUGAACCGGCUGACAGGGUCGGGGGACAGAAGGAAGAGCAGGUUUCUCACGGGAUGUCAGCCCAGGGCUCCCACAUGUGGCCUCCCACCCUCAUCUUCACACAUUUUCACACCUUCCGGAGUACAGAGGCGAGCGGGGUGCAGAUGGUCCUCCCCACAUCGGGUGAGACUGAUAGAGACGGAACGGGGGAGGGUAUGAUAGAGAUCCAGCCACAGAGAAGGGCAGAACUAGAAAAGAUGGGACUUGAGAUGAAACAAAGAGAGAGAGAGAAACCAAGAGAAAGAAACCAGGAAGACAAGCAAAGAGACAGGUAG
rnacentral:lncRNA from 1 species